ACUCCUACGGGAGGCAGCAGUGGGGAAGUAUUGCACAAGGGGAAAGACCCUGAUGCAGCCAUGCCGCGUGUGUGAAGAAGGCCUUCGGGUUGUAAAGCACUUUCAGUCGUGAGGAAGGUAGUGUAGUUAAUAGCUGCAUUAUUUGACGUUAGCGACAGAAGAAGCACCGGCUAACUCCGUGCCAGCAGCCGCGGUAAUACGGAGGGUGCGAGCGUUAAUCGGAAUUACUGGGCGUAAAGCGCAUGCAGGUGGUUUGUUAAGUCAGAUGUGAAAGCCCGGGGCUCAACCUCGGAAUUGCAUUUGAAACUGGCAGACUAGAGUACUGUAGAGGGGGUAGAAUUUCA
rnacentral:rRNA from 1 species